AUUGAACGCUGGCGGCAUGCUUUACACAUGCAAGUCGAACGGUAACAGGCCGCAAGGUGCUGACGAGUGGCGAACGGGUGAGUAAUGCAUCGGAACGUGCCCAGUCGUGGGGGAUAACGCAGCGAAAGCUGUGCUAAUACCGCAUACGAUCUAUGGAUGAAAGCGGGGGACCGUAAGGCCUCGCGCGAUUGGAGCGGCCGAUGUCAGAUUAGGUAGUUGGUGGGGUAAAGGCCUACCAAGCCAACGAUCUGUAGCUGGUCUGAGAGGACGACCAGCCACACUGGGACUGAGACACGGCCCAGACUCCUACGGGAGGCAGCAGUGGGGAAUUUUGGACAAUGGGCGCAAGCCUGAUUCAGCAAUGCCGCGUGCAGGAAGAAGGCCUUCGGGUUGUAAACUGCUUUUGUACGGAACGAAACGGUCUGGGUUAAUACCCUGGGCUAAUGACGGUACCGUAAGAAUAAGCACCGGCUAACUACGUGCCAGCCGCCGCAGUAAAAC
rnacentral:rRNA from 1 species